rnacentral:rRNA from 1 species
CCUACGGGGGGCAGCAGUGGGGAAUAUUGCACAAUGGGGGGAACCCUGAUGCAGCGACGCCGCGUGGGUGAAGGAGUAUUUCGGUAUGUAAAGCCCUAUCAGCAGGGAAGAACAAUGACGGUACCUGACUAAGAAGCAUCGGCUAACUCCGUGCCAGAAGCCGCGGAUAUACGGGGGCUGCGAGCGUUAUCCGAAUUUAGGGGGUUUAAAGGGUGCGUAGGGGGGUUAUCAAGUCAGCGGUAAAACCGUGGAGCUCAACUCGGUCCAGCCGUUGAAACUGAUGAGCUUGAGUGGGGGAGAGGGAUGCGGAAUGCGUGGUGUAGCGGUGAAAUGCGUAGAGAUGAGGAGGAAUUCCGGUUGCGAAGGCAGCAGACCGG